AGUGAACGCUGGCGGCAUGCUUUACACAUGCAAGUCGAACGGCAGCGCGGGCUUCGGCCUGGCGGCGAGUGGCGAACGGGUGAGUAAUGCAUCGGAACGUGCCCAGUAGUUGUGGAUAGCCCGGCGAAAGCCGGAUUAAUACCGCAUACGACCUGAGGGCGAAAGCGGGGGACCGAAAGGCCUUGCGCUAUUGGAGCGGCCGAUGUCGGAUUAGCUAGUUGGUGGGGUAAAGGCUUACCAAGGCGACGAUCCGUAGCUGGUCUGAGAGGACGACCAGCCACACUGGGACUGAGACACGGCCCAGACUCCUACGGGAGGCAGCAGUGGGGAAUUUUGGACAAUGGGGGCAACCCUGAUCCAGCCGUGCCGCGUGCGGGAAGAAGGCCUUCGGGUUGUAAACCGCUUUUGUUCGGGAAGAAAUCCUCUAGGCUAAUACCCCGGGGGGAUGACGGUACCGGAAGAAUAAGCACCGGCUAACUACGUG
rnacentral:rRNA from 1 species